rnacentral:rRNA from 1 species
CAGUCGCCACGGUAAUACGUAGGGUGCAAGCGUUAAUCGGAAUUACUGGGCGUAAAGCGCACGCAGGCGGUUUGUUAAGUCAGAUGUGAAAUCCCCGAGCUUAACUUGGGAACUGCAUUUGAAACUGGCAAGCUAGAGUCUUGUAGAGGGGGGUAGAAUUCCAGGUGUAGCGGUGAAAUGCGUAGAGAUCUGGAGGAAUACCGGUGGCGAAGGCGGCCCCCUGGACAAAGACUGACGCUCAGGUGCGAAAGCGUGGGGAGCAAACAGGAUUAGAUACCCCUGUAGUCCCUGUCUCUUAUAA